rnacentral:rRNA from 1 species
GACGAGGGGUCCUAGCGUUGUUCGGAAUCACUGGGCGUAAAGCGUUUGUAGGCGGCUCUAUAAGUCGGGUGUGAAAUCCCAUGGCUCAACCAUGGAAGUGCAUUCGAAACUGCAGAGCUUGAAUAUGGAAGAGGAGAGUGGAAUUCCUGGUGUAGCGGUGAAAUGCGCAGAUAUCAGGAAGAACACCCGUGGCGAAGGCGGCUCUCUGGGACGGUACUGACGCUGAGACGCGAAAGCGUGGGGAGCGAACAGG